rnacentral:rRNA from 1 species
GAUGAACGCUGGCGGCGUGCCUAAUACAUGCAAGUCGAGCGAACAGACGAGGAGCUUGCUCCUCUGACGUUAGCGGCGGACGGGUGAGUAACACGUGGAUAACCUACCUAUAAGACUGGGAUAACUUCGGGAAACCGGAGCUAAUACCGGGUAAUAUAUUGAACCGCAUGGUUCAAUAGUGAAAGACGGUUUUGCUGUCACUUAUAGAUGGAUCCGCGCCGCAUUAGCUAGUUGGUAAGGUAACGGCUUACCAAGGCAACGAUGCGUAGCCGACCUGAGAGGGUGAUCGGCCACACUGGAACUGAGACACGGUCCAGACUCCUACGGGAGGCAGCAGUAGGGAAUCUUCCGCAAUGGGCGAAAGCCUGACGGAGCAACGCCGCGUGAGUGGUGAAGGUCUUCGGAUCGUAAAACUCUGUUAUUAGGGAAGAACAAAUGUGUAAGUAACUAUGCACGUCUUGACGGUACCUAAUCAGAAAGCCACGGCUAACUACGUG